CGACGUUUGUAAAAUCAUUAGUACAGCUUCAAACUCUGUCACAGCGGCCUUCUUCACCUCCUGCUGCUCCACCUCCUGCUCCUGCUUCUUCACGUCCUUCUAUGGAGAUUUCUGAGGAGGAUGUCUCGGUGUCAUCCGUUUUUCGUGAGCAACAACGGUUAUCAGAGGAGCUUCAGAAAUUAUCAGCGGAUCAGGCUCGGAUAAGAAAGGAUGUGAGCAAGAUAAAACGGUUGAUGAAGGCGAUUUUUGAUAAGUUGGGUUGUUGUAGUUCUGAUCUUCCUCUGGAGGGUGAUGGCUCAGAUUGAGUGUUAUGGAGUUCCUCUGUUUGUCUUUUUGGCACUUUCAGACAAAAAGGGGGAGAUGACGAUGAUGCCUAUGCUUAUUGUUGAUCUUUUGAUAUGAUGCUGAUGCAAUUUGGUG
rnacentral:lncRNA from 1 species